UACGUAGGGUGCAAGCGUUGUCCGGAAUUAUUGGGCGUAAAGAGCUCGUAGGCGGUCUGUCGCGUCGGAUGUGAAACCCCUGGGCUUAACCCUGGGCCUGCAUUCGAUACGGGCAGACUAGAGUUCGGUAGGGGAGACUGGAAUUCCUGGUGUAGCGGUGAAAUGCGCAGAUAUCAGGAAGAACACCAAUGGCGAAAGCAGCUCUCUGGGACGGUACUGACGCUGAGACGCGAAAGCGUGGGGAGCGAACAGG
rnacentral:rRNA from 1 species